GAGGAUGUAGCUUAGUGAUAGAGCUCCUGCUUGGCAUGUGCAAGGCCCUGGGUUCAAAUCCCAGUAUGCACA
rnacentral:tRNA from 1 species